rnacentral:lncRNA from 1 species
GCCAACCUGUUCUGGUCUGCUUACACGCUGUGGAAGCUUUGUUCUUUCGCUUUUUGCAAUAAAUCUUGCUACUGCUCACGCUUUGGGUCCACACUGCCUUUAUGAGCUGUAACACUCACCCCGAAGGUCUGCAGCUUCACUCUUGAAGCCAGCGAGACCACGAGCCCACCGGGAGGAAGGACAACUCCAGACGCGCUGCCUUAAGAGCCGUAACACUCACCGCGAAGGUCCGCAGCUUCACUCCUGAGCCAGCGAGACCACGAACCCACCAGAAGGAAGAAACUCCGAACGCAUCUGAAUAUCAGAAGGAACAAACUCCAGACACGCCGCCUUUAAGAACUGUAACACUCACCGUGACGGUCCACGGCUUCAUUCUUGAAGUCAGUGAGACCAAGAACCCACCAAUUCCAGAUACAGGAUUACAAGUGUGAGCCACCGUGCCCGGCCUCUAUUUAUUUUUUAUAAUUUUUGAGACAGAGUCUUACUUUGUUGUCCAGGUUGGAGUGCAAUGACGCAGUCCUGGCUCACUGCAACUUCUGCCUCCCGGAUUCAAGUGAUUCUCCUGCCUCAGCCUCCUGAGUAGCUGGGAUUACAGGCACCCGCCACCACGCCCAGCUCAUUUUUGUAUUUUUAGUAGGGACAGGGUUUCACCAUGUUGGUCAAGCUGGUCUCAAAUGCCUGACCUCAAGCAAUCCACCCGCCUUGGCCUCCCAAAAUGCUGGGAUUACAGGCGCGAGCCACUGUGCCCAGCCCCAAAGCUUAUUUUUAUUUGUUCACAUGAAUGCAGUUUUCUUGGUUAUUAUUUCUGAAUCUUCUUGUAAAUUUUUGAAUACUACCUAAAAUUAUGAGGAAGGAAGCAAAAAUCUGAGUUCACUUCCCCAGAUUCUUUUUUUAAAGAACAAAAUCUCUUUUCUCUCUGAAGCUAUUACUGGUGUUUUUGAACACUGUGUGUUCUGAAACUCUUGCUCAGUGCAAGUUACACAACUGUAGCAAAUAGACCCCAAACGUAGCUGCCCAUGCCAGCCCGCGGCUUAUUUAUCCCUGACCUGCCCAAGCAAGUGCUCCUGCGGGGUGGGGCCUGGUUGGGCCCCAGGCUGAAGGCUGCCCUGUCAUCUUGCACAUUUGUCUUCCACAGUCUCUCUGAUGUGCCCAUUUCAGCCAUCAGAAGGGGGAACCCUAAAAGCCUCCUGGAAGGGUGACCUGCUCCUGAAACUGGUGCACACUGCUUCUGCCAGAUUCUGUUGGACACCACGGUUACCCAGCCACACCUACUGCGAGGGAGCCUGGGAAUGCAGACCAGCCAGGGGCCCCAUGAGAAGGGGUAACGGCUUCUGUUGGACAGCCGGACGGCAGCCAGCCAGCCCUUGGCCUCCAGACAUCUGUGAGACCCACCCUUCCUCCACACAUCGUGUUAGAAAAAGUCACCAUCAUCUCCAGGGAGAAGACCCAGCCCAAAGCCUGCCUCUCUAGGAUGGGCAGAGCCUUUCCGUGGGUCCCGAUGACUGUCUUCCGGGUCCAACUGACAGAUGAUUCAUUAAGCCAUCUGCUCCCCUCCCCCCGCAACCUGAGCCUUCAUCUGAUCUUUGCCGUAGGCCUGCACACUUUUGUUGGACUGAGCUGCCUGAGUGACAGGCCUUGAACAGCCACCAUCUUUUCUCCUACUGUUUGAGGCAUAAACAGUGGCUUUUUCAACCUGGGAGUCCCAACUUUCUGGGGUAACUCUAAUUGCAAACCGGCCCUCAAUUUCUGGAAACAGUAGUCAAGCUACAGGGAAUGAGUGCCUCGCGCUAACCUUCUGGCUCUUUCCUCCCUCUUCCCAGCGUUCCCAAGCCUUUACCUCGGCACACCAGGGGACGUGUGGCAUCAUCUUCAAUUCACCACAUCCGUUUCCCUGUAUCCCCAAGUGCCAGGGCAGGUGUAUCAGUCGGCUUUUGCCACAACAGUGCUGCAUAACGACGACCUUAAAGCUUGGUGGCCGAGUCUCACGCUCACAGGGCUAGGGCCGACCUCCACCUGGCCAAGCCCCUGGCCUCCGGGUUCUGGGAUGUGGGCUGGGCUGAGGUCCGCCCAGGUUUCUCGCUUCUUGGAGCCCCCGUCAGUUAUCUGCGUUCUCCAUUCUUCUCUGGGGCACAGCCUGCUUGUAGUGGGUCCCUGGCAAGCAGGAAGACCAGGCUGCCCUUGCUGGCACAUUCCAAACCUUUGCCCAUUUCAAAUCUGCUACCUUCCCACUAGCCAGAGCACGUCACUCGCCAAGCCCAAAGUCAAGGGAGGAGAGCCCACCCACCACCUAGAGACCACAGCAAGCAGACGGAUGUAAAAUUCUGCUACGGGGGAGUGAAAAACCAAUGAUUAAAUUGCUAAUUGAAUUGUAAGUUAAACUGCUCUGAGGCAUAGACGCUGGUGUAAAUGCCUAAACAAAAGAGAAGUGGAUUUCUCUCUUGACAACCAUGGCAGGGUUUCCGUUUGACAAUGGCCUUGAUUCUUGCAGUCACUCAGAGCCCUAGGCUGAGGGUGACUCUGCUGUCCUCAAGCGAAGCUUCCUGUGUCACCCUGGUUGUUGCCAGGCCCUGGGAAAGGAAAAGUUAAUGGAGGGCCUUUUGGGCCAGUCACAGGAGAGGCACACGUCACUGCUGUCACCUCCACUGCAGGUGGCCACCUGGCCACACCCCUUGCCAGGGAACCUGGCAGAUUCAGUCUAGCCCAGGCCAAGGAGGAGGGGCACCCAAUCUCGCUGUACAGCGCCGGCUCUGCGCUAGUUAGUUCGCUCGUGUUAGUUCUUCAGUUUGUGGUGCGUCCUUGGGGUUGGUGAUCCCAGCUUUGUGUGGGAUCCCUGCUUGUCCAUCAGCAGCACGUGGUCAGACACCUCAACUGUGGCUGACGGCUCAGAGCCCACGACUCCCCGCUCCCUCCAGGUGUUAUUCCACAAUGGGAUCUCUUCUCUGUCCACUGCCUGUGCUGAGUGUACUCAGCCAAGGGUGAGGCUGCCCUCCCACAGACACCCCAGCCAUCCCCCUCCCACUGUCCCAGGGCCCCUUGGCUCCUCUGGGAGCUGCCAUCACCUGCCAGCAGGUUUCACUUCUGGGCACCAAGGCUGUCAUUUCUUCCCUCCAGCGAGAGCAACGUCCCCACCCCCAUCUCCCCAGGACUCCUCCAGAUUUCUGGGCCACGGAGGGCACCCAUCUUGUCCCUGCUGGUUGUAAUGGACUUACAGUUUUUUUUUCUUUGUUUUUUUGGAGAUGGAGUUUCACUCUCGUUGUUGCCCAGGCUGGAGUGCAAUGGCGCAAUCUCGGCUCACCACAGCCUCUACCUCCUGGGUUCAAGCGAUUCUCCUGCCUCAGCCUCCUGAAUAGUUGGGACUACAGGCAUUCGCCACCAAGGCUGGCUAAUU